GGGGGCGUCCUGGCUUCGACGGGAUCGCAACCUUCGUAGGGAGGCAUGCCGGGUUCCGAGCUCCCGUUAAACGAUCGGAAAACCACAGCUGCCAACAACGACAUGCAGCUCGCAUACGCUGCCUAAUUAGGUCAGCGCGUUCUAACCGGUCGGCCCGUAGGCCGGGGACGAAUGGCAUAAAUCACGGGCUGGGCCAAAGGCUUCUGUUCGGAGCCGUAGGCCGAGAUUAAUCGAGCUGGGUCGCUUCCAACUUGUCCGUUCCUUUGGAGGCGAUCGAGAAAACGGAAUGGACUAAGCAUGUAGUCUCUUUAUGUUGGUCUUUCUCGGACGCGGGUUCGACUCCCGCCGCCUCCACCA
rnacentral:tmRNA from 1 species